rnacentral:rRNA from 1 species
GCAAGUCGAGCGGUAGCACAGAGAAGCUUGCUUCUUGGGUGACGAGCGGCGGACGGGUGAGUAACGCGUGGGAAUCUACCUGGUAGUGGGGGACAACAGUCGGAAACGACUGCUAAUACCGCAUACGCCCUUCGGGGGAAAGUGGGGGAUCUUCGGACCUCACGCUAUCAGAUGAGCCCGCGUCGGAUUAGCUUGUGGGUGAGGUAAAGGAGGACAAAGGCGAUGAUCCGUAGCUGGUCUGAGAGGAUGACC